rnacentral:rRNA from 1 species
GAAUCUGAAUCUGGUAGAGGGGGGGAAAGACACUGUCGCUGGCAGGACUCGAAGUUCUUAGUCUUUGCAUGUGCACGCGUCCUUCUCUCUCCACCUUUUUCUCCAUCACACCUGUGCACCUUUUGUAGAUCCACCUCGAAAGAGGAGAGAUCUAUGUUUUAUCAUAUCACACAUUUCGUAUGGCCAGAAUGAAACAAAAAAACAUAUCAUACAACUUUCAGCAACGGAUCUCUUGGCUCUCGCAUCGAUGAAGAACGCAGCGAAUUGCGAUAAGUAAUGUGAAUUGCAGAUUUCCAGUGAAUCAUCGAAUCUUUGAACGCAUCUUGCGCUCCUUGGUAUUCCGAGGAGCAUGCCUGUUUGAGUGUCAUUUAAUUAUCAACCAUCCUUGAGGGGAUAUGGCUUGGAGUUGGAGGUUGCUGGCGGUACUACCGUCAGCUCCUCUUAAAUACAUUAGCGAUCGAGUUGGCUAGUCUUUGACGUGCACGGCCUUGGACGUGAUAAUGAUCGUCGUGGCUGGAGCGUCUUUCAUGGACUACACACACAUGGAUCGCUUCUAAUUUAUGAUGAGGAGUCUAGCGAUAGGUCUAUCGAACUUUUUGCUAUUAGGCAGCCUGAAAAAGGCUGGCGAACACACAAGCAAGACGGGACUAGAGCUUUCUUCGCCAUCCUUUGUAAUUUGACCUCAAAUCAGGUAGGACUACCCGCUGAACUUAAGCAUAUCAUA